ncrna:unclassified sequences COG2908 RNA
AGCCGCCCUACCUUUCGGUGUAAGGUUUGUCGCACAGCGAUGGCU